UCUUUGAUUUCGUUUCUUCCAAUUGUUUAUCGAAGCCUGCACAUGGAAUAACAGUCGCUGUUUGCUGGUGUAGCAUCAUCAAGAUUCACAUGCAAUAGUCGAUCGGCCUGAGAUGUAUUAAUUCAUUCUCUGUGUCUCCAAUCGAUCUCUGAGGUGAGAAUCUUGAUGAUGCUGCAUCGGCAAUAAACGGCUCUAUGAAGAAGUAUGAAUGGAAGAACUCCUUAAACCUCUUUGGAGCCCAAACUCUUUAUUUGAACAAAGGAAAACUAAAGAAGCUACUGGGACGAGCAAGAAGUGGGUUGCUAUGCAAAGGUAAGGGAAAAUAAUUUCCUGUUGAUCCUUUUUAUUUCAUCAACCCCUUUUCUUUUUGUUUUUUUGGUGGGCUACAUCAGUGUACGGAUGUUGAUAUCUUACAUAAAAACCCAACUGAGGAUUGUGAAGUUUUAGGGUUUUGUGUGGGGAUUUUUAAUGUUUAUGUUGAAUACUUUUAUGUGCUUAUGGGUAUUGUUCCAAGUGUUUUGUCUAAUUGUCUCUGAAUGCGAGUGAGUUUUGAAACUUGAAAUGCUCUCCCUGGAAACUUUAAUAGCAAAUUUUGUUGAGAA